rnacentral:rRNA from 1 species
GAUCCUGGCUCAGGAUGAACGCUAGCUACAGGCUUAACACAUGCAAGUCGAGGGGCAGCAUUGGGGUAGCAAUACUCAGAUGGCGACCGGCGCACGGGUGAGUAACACGUAUCCAACCUGCCGCUUACUCGGGGAUAGCCUUCGAAAGAAAGAUUAAUACCCGAUGGUAUAAAGAGUUCGCAUGUUCUCUUUAUUAAAGAAUUUCGGUAAGCGAUGGGGAUGCGUUCCAUUAGAUAGUUGGCGGGGUAACGGCCCACCAAGUCUACGAUGGAUAGGGGUUCUGAGAGGAAGGUCCCCCACAUUGGAACUGAGACACGGUCCAAACUCCUACGGGAGGCAGCAGUGAGGAAUAUUGGUCAAUGGACGAGAGUCUGAACCAGCCAAAAGUAGCGUGAAGGAUGACUGCCCUAGUGGGUUGUAAACUUCUUUUAUAAGGGAAUAAAGUGAGGGACGUGUCCCUUUUUGUAUGUACCUUAUGAAUAAGGAUCGGCUAACUCCGUGCCAGCCGCCGC